CGGUCACAUCACGUUGAAAAACCGGUUCUCUUAGGAACACCGAAGUUAAGCAACGUCGAGUCUGGGCAUUACCUAGAUGGGUGACCGUUGGGGAAUGGCAAGUGCUGUAAG